rnacentral:misc_RNA from 1 species
GAUGAAGAACGCAGCGAAAUGCGAUAAGUAAUGUGAAUUGCAGAAUUCAGUGAAUCAUCGAAUCUUUGAACGCACAUUGCGCCCGCCAGUAUUCUGGCGGGCAUGCCUGUUCGAGCGCCAUUUCAACCAUCAAGCCCCCCGGCUUGUGUUGGGGACCUGCGGCUGCCGCAGGCCCUGAAAAGCAGUGGCGGGCUCGCUGUCACACCGAGCGUAGUAGAUCUCAUCUCGCUCAGGGCGUGCUGCGGGUUCCGGCCGUUAAACCACCUUCAUAACCCAAGGUUGACCUCGGAUCAGGUAGGGAUACCCGCUGAACUUAAGCAUAUCAAUAAGCGGAGGA